rnacentral:rRNA from 1 species
UACGGAGGGUGCGAGCGUUGUCCGGAAUCACUGGGCGUAAAGGGCGCGUAGGCGGCCUGAUAAGUAGGGGGUGAAAUCCUGCGGCUUAACCGCAGGGCUGCCUUCUAAACUGUCAGGCUAGAGCACAGUAGAGGCAGGUGGAACUCCCGGUGUAGCGGUGGAAUGCGUAGAGAUCGGGAAGAACAUCAGUGGCGAAGGCGGCUCACUGGUCCAUUACUGACGCUGAGGUGCGAAAGCGUGGGGAGCAAACAGG